rnacentral:rRNA from 1 species
UCGAGAAUUUUUCACAAUGGGGGCAACCCUGAUGGAGCGACGCCGCGUGGAGGAUGAAGGUCUUCGGAUUGUAAACUCCUGUCAUUGGUGAACAAGAUGGGCGGGGUAACUCCUUGCCUAUUUGCUAGUAGCCGAAGAGGAAGGGACGGCUAACUCUGUGCCAGCAGCCGCGGUAAUACAGAGGUCCCAAGCGUUGUUCGGAUUUAUUGGGCGUAAAGGGUGCGUAGGCGGCGGAGUAAGUUGGGUGUGAAAUCCCGGGGCUCAACCUCGGAAUUGCAUUCAAUACUGCUUCGCUCGAGUACUGGAGAGGAGGCUGGAAUUUACGGUGUAGCAGUGAAAUGCGUAGAUAUCGUAAGGAAGGCCGGUGGCGAAAGCGAGCCUCUGGACAGUUACUGACGCUGAUGCACGAAGGCCAGGGGAGCAAACGG